rnacentral:rRNA from 1 species
AAGAACAACAGGGAUUGCCUCAGUAACGGCGAGUGAAGCGGCAACAGCUCAAAUUUGAAAUCUGGCCCCAGGCCCGAGUUGUAAUUUGCAGAGGAUGCUUCGGGCGCGGUGCCUUCCAAGUCCCCUGGAACGGGGCGCCAUAGAGGGUGAGAGCCCCGUCGGGUCGGCCGCCAAGCCUGUGUGAAGCUCCUUCGACGAGUCGAGUAGUUUGGGAAUGCUGCUCUAAAUGGGAGGUAGACCCCUUCUAAAGCUAAAUACCGGCCAGAGACCGAUAGCGCACAAGUAGAGUGAUCGAAAGAUGAAAAGCACUUUGAAAAGAGGGUUAAACAGUACGUGAAAUUGUUGAAAGGGAAGCGCUUGUGACCAGACAUGCGCCGGGCGCUCAGCGGGCGUUCUCGCCCGUGCAUUCGCCCCGGCGCAGGCCAGCGUCGGUUCGGGAGGGGGGACAAAGGCGCCAGGAACGUGGCUCCCUCGGGAGUGUUAUAGCCUGGCGCGUCAUGCCCCCGCCCGGACCGAGGUUCGCGCUCCGCAAGGACGCUGGCGUAAUGGUCCCCAGCGGCCCGUCUUGAAACACGGACCAAGGAGUCGAGGUUUUGCGCGAGUGUUUGGGUGUCAAACCCGCACGCGUAAUGAAAGUGAACGCAGGUGGGAGCUUCGGCGCACCACCGACCGAUCCUGAUGUUCUCGGAUGGAUUUGAGUAGGAGCGUAGGGCCUCGGACCCGAAAGAUGGUGAACUAUACUUGGAUAGGGUGAAGCCAGAGGAAACUCUGGUGGAGGCUCGCAGCGGUUCUGACGUGCAAAUCGAUCGUCAAAUCUGAGUAUGGGGGCGAAAGACUAAUCGAACCAUCUAGUAGCUGGUUACCGCCGAGU